rnacentral:rRNA from 1 species
UACGUAGGGGGCGAGCGUUAUCCGGAUUCACUGGGUGUAAAGGGAGCGUAGACGGCCAAGCAAGCCAGGGGUGAAAGCCCGGGGCCCAACCCCGGGACUGCCCUUGGAACUGCAUGGCUGGAGUGCGGGAGGGGCAGGCGGAAUUCCUGGUGUAGCGGUGAAAUGCGUAGAUAUCAGGAGGAACACCGGCGGCGAAGGCGGCCUGCUGGACCGCGACUGACGUUGAGGCGCGAAAGCGUGGGGAGCAAACAGG